rnacentral:rRNA from 1 species
UUUAAAGUGGUACGCGAGCUGGGUUUAGAACGUCGUGAGACAGUUCGGUCCCUAUCUGCCGUGGGCGCUGGAGAAUUGAGGGGGGCUGCUCCUAGUACGAGAGGACCGGAGUGGACGCAUCACUGGUGUUCGGGUUGUCAUGCCAAUGGCACUGCCCGGUAGCUAAAUGCGGAAGAGAUAAGUGCUGAAAGCAUCUAAGCACGAAACUUGCCCCGAGAUGAGUUCUCCCUGAGACUUUAAGUCUCCUGAAGGAACGUUGAAGACGAUGACGUUGAUAGGCCGGGUGUGUAAGCGCAGCGAUGCGUUGAGCUAACCGGUACUAAUGAACCGUGAGGCUUAACCUU